rnacentral:rRNA from 1 species
CAGCCGCCGCGGUAACACGGAGGGUGCAAGCUUUAUCCGGAUUUAUUGGGUUUAAAGGGUCCGUAGGCGGAUCUGUAAGUCAGUGGUGAAAUCUCACAGCUUAACUGUGAAACUGCCAUUGAUACUGCAGGUCUUGAGUAAAUUUGAAGUGGCUGGAAUAAGUAGUGUAGCGGUGAAAUGCAUAGAUAUUACUUAGAACACCAAUUGCGAAGGCAGGUCACUAAGAUUUAACUGACGCUGAUGGACGAAAGCGUGGGGAGCGAACAGGAUUAGAUACCCCCGUAGUCCCUGUCUCUUAUAC